UACAUUGAUGAUAAUACUGUGGAUGCUAUGG
rnacentral:piRNA from 1 species